AAGAGAGUGUUUAGUACUUCAAGGUUGUAAGAGUUUGCACUUGGAACACAGUGUCAUAUGCAUUGUUGUAACUCCAGCUGUGUGUGAUCUUUGUAGAGGUGGAGUGGUGUAGUGGGCUAAGCACAGCACAACAAACCAAACACCAAAGCAACCAUGUGUUUUCCAUAUUAUUUUAUAUAAUUAUGCACACAGUUUUAUUUUUCUUGGUGCAGAUAUUGCUGUGUAGCAUAAUACAGCAUUACUUUUAUUUUCAGAUCGAUUGGCUGAGCCUCAUGGGAGGCAACACACCUGGAGAGUCGGUCAGAAGACUGCUUAGGAAACUCGGGACGAAUGCUCUAUGGGCCCAAUAUAGUCUUAAAGGCCGCAAGGGAAAGAAGAAUUUCCAGGAACUGGAAAUAUAUGCCUGUUGUCAAACACACACCAAGGUGCUGGAAAAAGUAAUUGAGGACUUCAUAUCAGAAACACUGAAGUUUGCACCACACAGAGAUAAGAUGCUACAAUCUAAGGUGUCACUUCAGGCCAAAGCAGAGACUUCGUGAAAAGAAGACACACAGAACACACUUAAUUAGUUGUUUUACACACAGAACGUAUUUUAUGUAAGAUUUGGAAUGUUUCAGUUUGUGGAAUGUUUGAAUAUAUAAAAUGUGAAAGUUAAGAUAUCAGUUAUGCCAUUUUUUUUUCAUUUAAAUGUACUGUACCUUACAGUAUACUUA